GACGAACGCUGGCGGCGUGCCUAACACAUGCAAGUCGAACGGAAAGGCCCGGCUCUUGCGGGUCGUUCGUUUGGCGAACGGGUGAGAAACACGUGAGUAUCCUGCCCUUGACUUUGGGAUACCUCCAGGAAACUGGGGCUAUUACCGCCUAUGAGCUCCUGCUGCGGGGUGGGGGUUGGAAAGUUUCGGCGGUUGGGGUUGGACUCGCGGCGCAUCCGCUUGUUGGUGGGGUAGUGGCUUACCAAGGCUUUGACGGGUAGCCGGCCUGAGAGGGUGACAGGCCACGUCGGGAGUGGGAUACGGCCCGGACUACUACGGUAGGCAGCAGUGGGGAAGGUGGCACAGUGGGCGGAAGCCUGAUGCGGCAACGCCGCGUGGGGGAUGGCGGGCUGGGUGUUGUAUACCGAUUUCGCGUGUGACGAAGCGAGAGUGACGGUAAUGGGUAAAAAAGCACCGGCUAACUACGUG
rnacentral:rRNA from 1 species